rnacentral:rRNA from 1 species
CGGACGGGUGAGUAAUGCCUGGGAAUCUGGCUUAUGGAGGGGGAUAACUACGGGAAACUGUAGCUAAUACCGCGUAGAAUCGGGAGAUGAAAGUGUGGGACCUUCGGGCCACAUGCCAUAGGAUGAGCCCAAGUGGGAUUAGGUAGUUGGUGAGGUAAAGGCUCACCAAGCCGACGAUCUCUAGCUGGUCUGAGAGGAUGACCAGCCACACUGGGACUGAGACACGGCCCAG